UACAGAGGUCUCAAGCGUUGUUCGGAUUCAUUGGGCGUAAAGGGUGCGUAGGCGGCGCGGUAAGUCGGGUGUGAAAUCUCGGAGCUUAACUCCGAAACUGCAUUCGAUACUGCCGUGCUUGAGGACUGGAGAGGAGACUGGAAUUUACGGUGUAGCGGUGAAAUGCGUAGAUAUCGUAAGGAAGACCAGUGGCGAAGGCGGGUCUCUGGACAGGUCCUGACGCUGAGGCACGGAAGGUCAGGGGGAGCAAAACGGG
rnacentral:rRNA from 1 species